UGGAGAAGUACUCAAGUGGCUGAAGAGGUGCCCCUGCUAAGGGUAUAGAUCGCGCGAGCGGUGCGAGGGUUCGAAUCCCUCCUUCUCCGU
rnacentral:tRNA from 1 species